CAUGCAGGGGAUGAGAUGAAAAGCUGUAAGCCUUCUCCCUGAAAGCUGGCUGCCUUGGAUCAAACGUGUAGCGCUAGCUACACGCCAAGGUAUUGUCCAGUGUGGGUAGAUUGGUAAAGCACUGCGUACCUUGUCCCAAGGUUCGUAGGUUCGAGUCUCCUUCAGCCAGAGAUCAGUGUUUGUAUAUAUUUAUAAAUUUAUAACGCUAGCAAGAUUUUUGCACAUAAGUAGAAAAGACUACUGAUUUAUUUACAUUAUUGCAAAAUAACUGAGGUGGAAGACGCACGCGAUGCGUGGCGCACUAGUUUUAUCACAUGCUCGCACCUGCAAACUCACACACACACACGAUAAAGCUCACAGAGCAGGGAGGAGAGAGCGGACCUAGUAGCGACCAGGGAAGAGGCGGGGGCCAGGAGCUGUGAAGCGACCCCUACAACCACAAACAGGGAUGCACUCGGCCGUUAGCUGCAUGGAGAUGAACUAUGACGGAGAGGGCCCUUAUGCCUUAACGUCGUAGAGGAGAGUUUCGCCUGAUUCGCUGCUGCCGUGUCCCUCCGAGAAGAGGAUGUCUGAUCUAUCGCCCGUGUAUCAGACUCGGGUUGAUUAUGAAGGAUCUUCCUACACCCGAGAACUGGGUGUGAGACUGGGUCUGAAAGUGGCCCCGAGACUGGGUCCGAGCCCAGACUCUACUGAGAGGCGGAUGGAUGGAUGGUCUGGCUACUGAAUAUUGCAGGCAGCAUGCCAACGUACAAUUGACAGCUGGGUUGAUGUGGUAUUUCCAGAUGAAACUUCUCCACGUGUCUCUCUCGUUGAGAGCUCCCAUCCGGCAAGUAAAUGAUAUACCUUUACCUCCACUAUACCUCCAACUGCACAUUUGUAAUUUACCUCGUCUCAGAACACUAAUAAAAUGUGUAUACACUUUA